GAUGAACGCUGGCGGCGUGCCUAAUACAUGCAAGUCGAGCGAACAGACGAUAAUGCUUUCCCUCUCUGUCGUUAGCGUCGCACGGGUGAGUAUCACGCGUGUAACCUACCUAUUAGACUGGGGUAAAUUCGGGCAACCGGAGCUAAUACCGGAUAAUAUUUCACUUCGCAUGAUGCAACAGUGAACGACGAUUCAGCUGUCACUGAUAGAUUGACCCGCCGUGUAUUAGCUGGUUGGGGAGGUAACGGCUCACCAAGGCAACGAUACAUAGCCGAGCUGAGAGGGGGAUCGGCCACACUGGGACGGAGACACGGACCAGACUCCUACGGGAGGCAGCAGUAGGGAAUGUUCUGCAAUGGACGAAAGUCUGACGUGGCAAUGCCGCGUGAGUGAAGAAGGUUUUCGGAUCGUAAAACUCUGUUGUAAGGGAAGAACAAGUACGUUAGUAACGGAACGUGGCUUGACGGUACCUUAAGAGAAAGCAACGGCUAACUACGUG
rnacentral:rRNA from 1 species